rnacentral:lncRNA from 1 species
CAAAGAAAUACACGUAAUACAAUUUACUCCAAGACCCAAGACUUAAGACCAUGUAUCAGAGAUGACUUCGCUUAGGGGUUCAGAAAAUUCACUGAAGUCCAAGAUUAAGGUGCCAGCACAUUUAGUUUCUGGCAAGGCGUCUGUUCCUGGCUUGCAAUGGUCACCUUCUGAAUGGAUCUUCACAUUGAUAGAAAAGAGCUAUACGACUCUUUCUCCUCCGUGAUGCCCCUCUGCCAUGCCACCCUACAUUGGAGCCAGCCAACUACGGACUGAAACCUCUACAAACUGUGGCUGCAAUAAAUCUUUCCUCCCUUAA